rnacentral:rRNA from 1 species
GACGAACGCUGGCGGCGUGCCUAAUACAUGCAAGUCGAACGAACCGCGACUAAGUGCUUGCACUAAGUCAAGGUGAGUGGCGAACGGGUGAGUAACACGUGGGUAACCUACCUCAUAGUGGGGGAUAACAGUCGGAAACGACUGCUAAUACCGCAUAGGACAUCGGCUCACAUGAUCCAGUGAGGAAAGUUGUCGCAACCUAUCGCUAAGAGAUGGACCCGCGGUGCAUUAGCUAGUUGGUAGGGUAAAGGCCUACCAAGGCGAUGAUGCAUAGCCGACCUGAGAGGGUGAUCGGCCACAGUGGGACUGAGACACGGCCCAAACUCCUACGGGAGGCAGCAGUAGGGAAUCUUCCGCAAUGGACGCAAGUCUGACGGAGCAACGCCGCGUGAGUGAAGAAGGUCUUCGGAUCGUAAAGCUCUGUUGUUAGAGAAGAACAGAGCAUAGAGUAACUGCGAUGCGUGUGACGGUAUCUAACCAGAAAGCCACGGCUAACUACGUG